UACGUAGGAUGCAAGCGUUGUCCGGAUUUACUGGGCGUAAAGCGCGCGCAGGCGGCACUCUAAGUACGUCGUGAAAUAUCCCGGCUCAACCGGGAGGGUGCGAUGUAGACUAGGGAGCUAGAGGUCGGUAGAGGGGGGUGGAAUUGCUGGUGUAGCGGUGAAAUGCGCAGAUAUCAGGAAGAACACCCGUGGCGAAGGCGGCUCUCUGGGACGGUACUGACGCUGAGACGCGAAAGCGUAGGGAGCGAACAGG
rnacentral:rRNA from 1 species